CAGAAAGGAAGUCAAGGAGAUUCAAUGUGCAGUUCUGAGAAGGGAUUCAGUGUGCCGUUGCUGGCUCUGAGAAGUAGGAGCCUUGUGCAAGGAUUCAGGAGAGGCCUCUAGAAACUGAGGAUGGCCCUCAACUGGCAAGCACAGGCAACUGAAUUCGGCCAGGCAUCUGGGUCCUGUGCUAGGGGCUAGGAAGACAAAGAGAAACAGAGUCACAUCCUCCCACAAAAAUCCAUGAGAUGUCGGAGAGCCGAACUUGUAAACAGCCAUCAUCAACACAAAGAAGGAUGCACUGAUGCUCUCUAGAGGCUCACAGGAAAUGAUUCAUGGGCAUAGAGCAUGGCCAAUGAUGACCAGGGUUGCAGAGUUUUCCGUGGAGCUCCAGGACCCAGAAGCCAACUGCUGUAGCUCCUCGUUGAUGCUCUGUCUCCUGCAUGCCAGCUGCCCUCCAUCCCUUCCUGGGAGCCAUGGAUCAAAACUAUUACUGCUGUCUCUGGAGGCCAAACACCAGAGGCUGGUGUUUUGUUUUAGAAAAUACAGUUUAUCCCUUUUCAAUGACAAAAGAAAUAAUGUUCAUUAUAGCACAGUUGGAAAAAGCACCAAAGUUAAGAGCUCAUAGGAAAAUCAUCCCUAAUUCCAAGACCCAGACAACCCCUGUAAAAUUUUGACUCAUAUAUUACUCCUUUUUGUCUUCUUUUUUAAGGCAUAUUUUACAGUCUGUACCACAGCCUCUCUGUAUCUACAUACUUAGAUUUUCCACAUUAUAUAAUGGAUAUUUCCUAUGUUAUUAUAAAUUAUUCUUAAACAUUCUUUCAAUAGUUGUAUAAUAUUGAGGAUGACUAAAUCAUAAUAAAGAGAAGCUGCUAUUUUCUGCUUUCCACACACUAUUCCAAGCAAUGUACAUACAUUCUUCCCAUGUGACUCUAGCAAAAGCCCAGUGAGGUAGGAAUUAGUCUCAUCAUAUAAAUUGAUAAGAAAAUUGAGGCUCAAGGUUUUAGCAAUGUGUUUAACAAUGCUUAUUAAACAGCCAAAGCGGGAUUUAGACACAAGUUGGCUUGACUCCACUUUCCAUGCUUCUAAUCACUGCCUAAUUUCUCUAUUGCUGGACAUGGAGUUUACCUCCUCAUUUUUACUGUCGUGAAUACUGCAAGGCACAUCUUUGCACAGAACAUUUUAUUUCCCCUGUAUUUUCUUAUGAUAAAUUCACAGAACUGGAAAUACUAGAGCCAGGAAUUGAACAUUCAAAGAAACCCCACCAUUUUUGUUACUGCUAAUUUGUUUUCCGAAAAGGUUGUGCCAAUUUACAUCCCUUCCAGCACUAUAGGAGACAGCAGAUUUCCCCACACUCAGCACAGGACGGUCUACUCUGUGAACUUCCCUGCUAUUUAUGAUAGCUGGAAAUGGAUUGGUUUUUUUGUGUUUCUUUUUGCAUUUAUUUGAGUAUUAGUAAAGUUACACAUUUUUCCUUUUCUUUCCCCCCUUUUCCUCUUUUUCCUUUUUAGAAACAAGAUCUUGCUCUGUUGCCCAGGCUAGAGUGCAGUAGUGCAAUCAUAGCUCACUGCAGCCUUGAACUCCUGGGCUCAAAUGAUCCUCCCACCUCAGCCUCUCGGGUAGCUGAAACUACAGUCAUGUGCCACCACACCAGCCAAUUUUUCAAAAAGUUGUUGUAGAGACAGGGUCUUGCCAUGUUGCUCAAGCUGGUCUCAAACUCCUGGGCUCAAGUGAUCAUCUCACUUUGGCCUCCCCAAAAGUUUGUGGGAUUACAUGCAUGAGCCACUGUGCCUGGCUAAGUUACACAUUUUUCGAUGUUUCAAGUCGUUUGUAUUUUCUACUAAAAAUUUGGAGCCAUUUAUUUGUAAUGGUCUUAGUAUUUAAUUGAACCACGUGUAAUUAAAAUUUUUGUAAGUCAAACAUUGUUGAAUAUCAUCUCAGCCAAAUGUUUUU
rnacentral:lncRNA from 1 species